rnacentral:misc_RNA from 1 species
UCCGGCUUAUCACCGGCAGUUUCUUUAGAGUGCCCAACUAAAUGCUGGCAACUAAACACAGGGGUUGCGCUCGUUAUGGGACUUAACCCGACAUCUCACGACACGAGCUGACGACGGCCAUGCAGCACCUGAUACUAGUGUCCCGAAGGCCUAUGAUAUCUCUACCAUAUUCACUAGCACUUCAAACCCAGGUAAGGUUUUUCGCGUUGCAUCGAAUUGAACCACAUGCUCCACCGCUUGUGCGGGCCCCCGUCAAUUUCUUUGAGUUUUAAUCUUGCGACCGCACUUCCCAGGCGGAUCACUUAACGCGUUAGCUUCGGCACUGAUGGGGUCAAUACCACCAACACCAAGUGAUCAUCGUUUACGGUGCGGACUAC